UUGACUAUUUGACCUCAAAUCAGGUAGGACUACCCGCUGAAC
rnacentral:rRNA from 1 species